rnacentral:piRNA from 1 species
GCAGUAUUUGUAGUUGAUUGAGUG